GAUGAACGCUGGCGGCGUGCUUAACACAUGCAAGUCGAGCGAAGCACUUUACUUAGAUUUCUUCGGGAUGAAGAGUUUUGUGACUGAGCGGCGGACGGGUGAGUAACGCGUGGGUAACCUGCCUCAUACAGGGGGAUAACAGUUAGAAAUGACUGCUAAUACCGCAUAAGACCACAGCACCGCAUGGUGCAGGGGUAAAAACUCCGGUGGUAUGAGAUGGACCCGCGUCUGAUUAGCUGGUUGGUGGGGUAACGGCCUACCAAGGCAACGAUCAGUAGCCGGCCUGAGAGGGCGACCGGCCACAUUGGGACUGAGACACGGCCCAAACUCCUACGGGAGGCAGCAGUGGGGAAUAUUGCACAAUGGGGGAAACCCUGAUGCAGCGACGCCGCGUGAAGGAAGAAGUAUUUCGGUAUGUAAACUUCUAUCAGCAGGAAGAAAAUGACGGUACCUGACUAAGAAGCCCCGGCUAACUACGUGCCAGCCGCCGCAGUAA
rnacentral:rRNA from 1 species